rnacentral:siRNA from 1 species
AACUCCCACAACCGCAACCGCAU